rnacentral:rRNA from 1 species
ACGGGGUGCAGCAGGCGCGAAAACUCCGCAAUGCGCGCAAGCGUGACGGGGGAAUCCCAAGUGCCGUUGGUCUUAUGAUCGACGGUUUUUAGGAAGUCUAAGAAGCUUCCAGAAUAAGGGCUGGGCAAGACUGGUGCCAGCCGCCGCGGUAACACCAGCAGCCCAAGUGGUGACCACGAUUAUUGGGCCUAAAGCGCUCGUAGCCGGAUCAGCAAGUCCCUUGUGAAAUCGGGCCGCCUAACGGUUCGGCGUGCAAGGGAUACUGUUGGUCUUGAGGCCGGGAGAGGUCGGAGGUACUCCUGGGGUAGCGGUGAAAUGCUCUAAUCCUAGGGGGACCACCAGUGGCGAAGGCGUCCGACCAGAACGGACCUGACGGUGAGGGGCGAAGGCUAGGGGAGCGAACGGGAUUAGAUACCCCGGUAGUCCUAGCUGUAAAGCAUGCGGGCCAGGUGUCUAGCGCUCCUUGAGGGCGCUAGGUGCCGGAGGGAAGCCGUUAAGCCCGCCGCCUGGGAAGUACGGCCGCAAGGCUGAAACUUAAAGAAAUUGGCGGGGGAGCACCACAAGAGGUGGGACCUGCGGUUCAAUUGGAUUCAACGCCGGANAACUCACCAGGGGCGACAGCUGGUUGACGGCCAGAUUGACGAUCUUGCCCGACUAGCUGAGAGGUGGUGCAUGGC